CAAGGGUUAAAUUAGGUUAGGUUGCGCCGCGGAAGUAUUGCGAAAACAGUUCCAACGGCGUCGUCGGUUCAAACUAGAAAAAAAAAUAAUAAAAAGUUCAAUGGAUAUAUUUGGGCUUUGCUUGGCUGUCGCAUUCAUUACAGUUACAAUUAUCGGCUAUACAUUUACAGUAUUUAUGAUAAUCAGAGACAAUAUUCGACCUUGGUAUAGAUGGUGGAAAAAUUGUAAGGAUAUCAGGUUAAAUCGUGAAGAACUAUCCACAACUCUGAUUUCAUAAAAAUAUCAACAAAUAAAAUAAAUAAUAGUCAUAUUUAUUUAUUACAGAACUUAAGUAUAAAAAUAAAAAACAACAUUUUUUAAUAUUUUUAAA